CUCAUAUUCCUGCCUGUGUAUUAUAGUUCUCAGUCUUCCCCUGCUUGUUGUCGUGUCGUACACCCUCUCCGUAAUGUGUUUUCUCCUCUCGUGUUCCUGAGAAUAUUCUAGCUCCCAGUCCUGGUUUGUUUCUUUGCUCGAGUUUCUUAGUCUCCAGCUUCCAGUGCCCAGUUUAGUUUCGAGUUUUGCGAUUGAGGUUUUGGUUUGUUUUGUAAAAGUCUAUUUCCUAUAAAGAGUUUUUCCCAGCAAUAAAGCUGCGAUUGAAGUGUAACUUUCAGUUUCUGAGUCCUACGUUUGGGUCCUUCAUCUUGGCUGCCACACAGCACUCGACAUGACAAGAAUGUCCUGUUGACAGUUUCCUUGAAACUUUGUUUUUGAGGUCAGAUGUUUGAAAAGCCAUUCAUCUGUCUGCCCUGUGGAACCUGAAAUCCUGCUGAACCUCACCACACUGAGCAGGUGUCCACUAAGGAUGUGUUUGACUUUAAGAGAAGAAGGAGGUUGUACCUGAGCAUCCAUGAG